UACAGAGGGGGCAAGCGUUGUUCGGAAUUACUGGGCGUAAAGGGCGCGUAGGCGGCCCGCUAAGUCGAACGUGAAAUCCCCGGGCUCAACCCGGGAACUGCGUCCGAUACUGGUGGGCUCGAAUCCGGGAGAGGGAUGCGGAAUUCCAGGUGUAGCGGUGAAAUGCGUAGAUACGUGGAGGAACACCGGUGGCGAAAGCGCCUUUCUAGUUUAGACCUGACGCUGAGGCGCGAGAGCAAGGGGAGCAAACAGG
rnacentral:rRNA from 1 species